rnacentral:rRNA from 1 species
AUUGAACGCUGGCGGCAGGCUUAACACAUGCAAGUCUAGCGGGCGAGGUUGCUUCGGUAACUUAGCUAGCGGCGGACGGGUGAGUAAUGCUUAGGAAUCUGCCUAUUAGUGGGGGACAACAUUCCGAAAGGGAUGCUAAUACCGCAUACGUCCUACGGGAGAAAGCAGGGGAUCUUUAUGACCUUGCGCUAAUAGAUGAGCCUAAGUCGGAUUAGCGAGUUGGUGGGGUAAAGGCCUACCAAGGCGACGAUCUGUAGCCGGUCUGUGAGGAUGGUCCGCCACACUGGGACUGAGACACGGGCCAGACGCCUACGGGAGGCAGCACUGGGGAAUAUUGGUCAAUGGGCAGAACCCUGAGCCAGCCAUGCCGCGUGUGUGAAGAAGGCCUUUUGGUUGUAAAGCACUUUACGCGAGGAGGAGGCUCUCUGGGUUAAUACCUGAGAAGAGUGGACGUUACUCGCAGAAUAAGCACCGGCUAACUCUGUGCCAGCCGCCGCGGUAAUAC